ensembl:lncRNA
CAGAGUAUUUCUGGGGUGCCUCAGCCUCUUUUCAUGACUAAUGGCUGCAAUAUAGCAGAGCCAGCCUCCUGUGGAGUUCAGGGUCCAAAACAGGUAGAAGCAAUAAAGAGUACACAGAGGAACUGCAAGAACUUCCAAGCUGGAAGGCUUCCAGAAAAGGAUAAGCCAAUGUAGUGUCAAAGACACACCAUGUUUGUGAACUGGAAAUUUUCCUUUAGCGUUUUUAGAGGUAUUCUGUUCAAGCAUGCUGGACCUCAAGAUCUGGAAGAUCAGUCUUCAGUCAGAUUGGAGAAAGGAUGGCUCUGUGUAUGUUCAAGGCAGGAAAAAGGACAUGCUUCAUCUGCAAGGCACUCAGAAAAUCAUAUGGACCAUUCUCACCAAAGAGCUAUGUUCUGUAAGGAGCCUUAAAGUGAUGCUAAUUUAGUCUAAAUAAGAAAUUGUUUUGCAGGUACAUGAUUGUGAAAGGUCCCAAUGUCAUAGAUACCUCCAUCUUGGACACUUGGCCAGAAAUUGAAAAGAGAUGAGUAUCAAAAGAUAUACGCUUUUUGCCUCGAGAGGGAGGAUGACACAAAGAGGAAUAAGAUUACUGUAAAACCUAUUCCAGCUUCCUGGCAUCCUCCAAUUUUAAAUGGCCUAACAGAGAGUGAAUCUUCAAAGAAGACAAAGGAAACGAUUUGGGGAAACUUGGAAAAAUGAUGAUUCAACUGAUGUGCUGAACAGCUUCUCAAACUGUGGUGAGCACGAGUCCAGCCCAGGGACUAAUGACAAAGACAGUAGGAAUUCAUAGAUGAAUCUAUCCCUGUAGGUAGGGGGAAUAAGGAAGAAAAGCAAUACCAAAAUUGGCUACCAUGCCAGAGAGCUGGAUCAGAAGGAAGACUUUCUCAAAGAGAACAGUAGUUUCUCUAUACUCGCUUGCCAACAUGACUUCCAGUUCCAGCCUGAAGCAAACUAAAUCAUUAUCUUUUAAAGACUUAAGUGAUGAGCUAGUCAUAAAAUGAUAUCAGGUCAUACUCACAGGUAGAGUUAAAUUUCUGUUUAGCAAUUUUUGCCUUUUGCUCAUGGUCAUCUGGAAUCAUCAUGGCCAAAAUCAGGCAUAGUUUUCCUAGAAUUACAUUAUCUAGGUGUAUCUACAGUAUUCCUGAAGAGACGCUGUACAGAAAGAGCUCCAGUUCUCAGCAGGUUACACUGAAGUUAUAAAAUAAUAAGGGGAGAAUAUAAUUAAGUAUUUGCUGUGGAAAAAAUAGGCCUAUCAAAAAAUACGUGCUACCCAAAAAAGUACAAGAGGUAGACUUAAGAUACUCCUCUUCAAUACUUCUGGUUUAGUAAACAGAAGGGUUUUUUUUCUUUUACUCUGCUGACAGUGCUGUGAAAUGAAAGCCUGUGUUCCCUCCUGCACAGUGAAGAAAACGCAGCCUGAUAAAUAAUUUGUUCUUUUAUAGAAGCCACUGCAACAUGUUUCUGUGACCCCUGACAAAUAUACAAAAAUCAAGACACUUCUGAGGAAAUUGGUAUGAUCGUAUCUUUGAUUAUGCCAUUGUUCUACCAAUAUAUACACAGUUCAAAAUGAAAUAAUAUAAAAAAGCUGAUUGAAGAAGUUGUUUCAGAAUAACCAAUCACUCAGCAGCAUUAAUCAGCAAAAUUAUACAGAAUUUCAAACUUGUGAUCACAUUUAUCAGUUUCUGUUUCUUUUUGGCACACCAACCAUUUGUAAUAAUGUUUCUAUUACGGAACCAGGCUGUAAACCAAACACCUGAUUUUCUGAAAUCUCCCUUAGGAUAAAGAAAUAUUAUUUUACAGUCUACCAAGAUAAAAAUUCCUUAAAAUGCUUUCCAAAACUUUACACAUAUCUGUAUACACAUGUGAGGUUUUCUUUACAUAGUUUCCUCUGAGACUUAGCAUAGACCUACAUGACCUAAAAUUUAGGAUGCUGAGUUUGGAACUGUGGUUUUUCAUAAUCCUGUGCAAUGCUAAGCAUUAACAAUUCCCACAGCUGGUGAACCAGACUGUUCUGAGAUUUUGUUGUAGAAGAGCAUCCUUUGCAAUACAAAUAUCAGGCGUAAUGAAAUCAGGCAUAAUGGUGGACCUUAACUCUUGAGUUUUAACACAUAUAUUUCAUUCUUUUGGUCAGUUAAAACAAAGUACUGACUGUCUAUUUAAUAACACAGUACCUUUACUGUGGCUGGUAUCGGAAUGAAAAUUGUCACCUCCAGAUUGCCAGCCAGCUCAAGGGAAGUAUAUGGAUUUGUUGCUGUUGAUAAAAAGUUACCAUAUACAAUGAUAGUUGUGGCUAUGAUCCAAUGAUUACUUGUAGACAUAUCAAAUGAGUCAGUGUUAUCAGUUCUUUCCAUGUGAAAUAGACAUUCAUAUGGCGGUAUACAUAAAAUUCACCUGUGCAACUACCAUUAACUGGCUCCAUUAUUGACAGCGUUAGCAAAUGCCUAAAGACUAAUGAGAUGAGAAAACUGCUAUACUUUCACAUCUAGCCCUAAUCACUCUAGAAAAAACAUAAGACAGGAAAUUUGCACUGCCAGUGCCUACGCUAUACUUAUUCUGGAUAUGAAAAGAAGGUCACCUGACACUUUUCUGUAGAAAUGGAAAUUUUCAAACACUUGCCUUUCUUUGGUGCCUGUAAUUAUUUACAAGCACCAUUAAAUGCUUAAAGAACUCAUUGUUACCCACAGAUGAGCCAUGUAGAGUCUUGACCUAAACUGUGCUUAUAGAAUUGGAAUACUCUUUAGAAUUAAAAAAAAACUAUUGACUAAGACCUGUAUUAUCUAUUUCCAUCUCUGACAAAUUUUGUGUAUCCUCAGUAAAUAAAAGUGUUAAGCUUUAACA